GUCUUUGCCUCAACUUCCAGCAAACCUGUCAAAGAUACAUGCUGGUGAUUGUCCAUUAUUGAAAAAUUAUGUGUGCUCACAACAACUAUGGGAAUUCACUGAGGAAUUUGAAUAUCAGACUUCAUGCCGAUCUGAAUUCUCAUCAGUAGACGGAUAUAAAGUUUACACUUUCAGUGACAUGACGUCUGCAAUUGUGAGACGGAACGAGUCACAAGUUGAUGACUUCUUCCUGCAACCGACUCGCAUAUUAACUAUUCCUGGUAGUGAAGUGCCAUCAUGGUUUCACAAUCAAAGCUAUUUUUGUGCGGAAGAUCUCACUUCUCGGUACAAUCCAACAAAUGUGUCAUUCAUAGUAAAUAAGCCUGAUUCAUGCUGUUCAAGUGAAUGGUGGGGCAUAGCUGUAUGCCUAGUGCUAGAAAAU